rnacentral:tRNA from 1 species
ACCGCCGUGGUGAAAUUGGCAGACGCGCCGGACUUAGGAUCCGGUGCCGCAAGGCGUAGCGGUUCGAGUCCGCUCGGCGGUACCA